rnacentral:rRNA from 1 species
GACAGAGGAUGCAAGCGUUAUCCGGAAUGAUUGGGCGUAAAGCGUCUGUAGGUGGCUUUUUAAGUCCGCCGUCAAAUCCCAGGGCUCAACCCUGGACAGGCGGUGGAAACUACCAAGCUGGAGUACGGUAGGGGCAGGCGGAAUUCCGGGUGUAGCGGUGGAAUGCGUAGAGAUCCGGAAGAACACCGGUGGCGAAGGCGGCCUGCUGGGCAGUAGCUGACACUGAGGCGCGACAGCGUGGGGAGCAAACAGG